GACGAACGCUGGCGGCGUGCUUAACACAUGCAAGUCGAACGCGCCUGUCCUCUGGGUUUCUGGGGGGUGGGUGAGUGGCGAACGGGUGAGUAACACGUGAGUAACCUGCCCCCUUCUUCGGGAUAACGGUCUGAAAGGGCUGCUAAUACCGGGUAUUCACUGGUCUCCGCAUGGGGUCUGGUGGAAAGGUUUUUUUCUGGUGGGGGAUGGGCUCGCGGCCUAUCAGCUUGUUGGUGGGGUGAUGGCCCACCAAGGCUUUGACGGGUAGCCGGCCUGAGAGGGUGACCGGUCACAUUGGGACUGAGAUACGGCCCAGACUCCUACGGGAGGCAGCAGUGGGGAAUAUUGCACAAUGGGCGCAAGCCUGAUGCAGCGACGCCGCGUGAGGGAUGGAGGCCUUCGGGCUGUGAACCUCUUUCGCCCGUGGUCAAGCCGCGACGUGGGUCGUGGCGAGGGUAGUGGGUAAAGAAGCGCCGGCUAACUACGUG
rnacentral:rRNA from 1 species